rnacentral:lncRNA from 1 species
UUUGACACAGGACCUGGGGUUUCCCACACAAGUGAGAAAGAAAUUGACUCUGGAAGACUUGGUCAAAAGUCUUUGAUUAUAAUUUUUUCUGCUGGUGGUUUUUCAGAAUGGAACUCCAGUCUUAUCAGCCAGCAUAGCUGGAGCCAGGUGUGACAGGUUGAUGGAGUAUUCUAGGAAAGAACAUGCCUUCAGCUUAAGACUCUGGGAUGGAUCACAGUAUUACCUUGCAGCACCCUCUCAAAAGCUAAUGGAGGACUGGAUGCAAGCAUUAUAUAGUCACUUGGGUAAGUCUGCAUGACUCAGAUUUUGGAACAUUUCCCCUCAUUUCUACCCUAUGUGUCCUUGCAAGAUGCCAACAAAGUGCUUAUGGAUUAGUUCAAUAACUCAGCAAACUCAAACAAAAGGAAAAAUCAGUGCACAAAAUUGUCUCUGAUAGUGCCAUUGUCUGGAGUUCAGAAACAAAUCCUUCGUAAUCCUAUUUUUCUCUUCUCCUUACAAAGUUUUAAAUAUGGCUUCUUGAAAACCUCAGUAGCAGACAGUGUUCUUUACUGGAGGAACUGUUAUUUUUACCACAGAUCCAGCAAGGCCUCAGAUAAAACCAUGGGUUUCCACAGGCAGAGGUGCUGCUGAAAAGCAGGUUACGAAAGUUCUCCUUCCCAGGAGAACUCCUUCCUUCAAAAUUAUACAAGAAAAAAGACCUAUGGGCAGUUCUGGUAAAUCAGAAGGAUUACCUCACGCUUUUAGCAUUACCUUUUCUCAGAAUUCUGAAGACUCUGAUGCUUCAUCUGUGACCUCCAUAGUAUCAGAUCCAGCAAUUCAGGGGAUAUCCACUCCAUCAGAUCCCCCACCAAGCUAUGAUGGGUCAGAAGUGUAUAAUGGAGGAGACAAGGGGAUUCUGGAACUGGAAGCUCAAGAAAUCAGAGCUGAACUCACCCCUGAAGUAACCAAAUGUUCAGAUGAUCCUCAAACUCAAGGCCUAAAGGAAUCGGAUGUCAAGAAGCAGAAGAAACGGAAAGAGAAGAAUGUAUUCAAGAAACUUUUUUCCAAAAAAUAA